CGGUUUGAAAAGAUUAAAAGGGAAGCAGGUGUAAAUCCUGCGCAGUCUUGCUGCCGUGUUGAUGAGAAUGUUUUCACAGGUAUUAAAAAGUGUAUAGUUUAAUACUUAGCCACUACUAAGGGAAGGCGAAAACAAACUUUGAUUCUUAGCCGGAAGACCUGCCGAUAUU
rnacentral:ncRNA from 1 species